CGUAAGUCCGGGAAGGAAGAAGGAAGACGGGGAGCCAGGAAGGAAGUAGUGGAAGGCAGCGGCAGUGAGCAAUCUUUACUCCACUUGUUUGAGAGUAAGUGCUUUGAAAAUGGAAGUGACAGAUUACACUAUAGAUGGGGUGCCUGUGGAGACCAGAAGAGGGCAUCAGAUCUCCUGGAGCUGGAAUUAUAGAAAGUGAUGAGCCACCAUGCAGGUGGGAAUUGAACUCAGGUCCUAUGGAAGGGAAGAGGAGCCAGUGCUCUCAGCUGCUGAACCAUCUCCACCCCAAUGAAAACCUAUCAAAAUAUUUUUAAUCAGACACAGUAAGUUUGAUUAAAACUUUGAAGUAUUUUACUCAUCUUAACACAGUUUAGUAUCACUUAGCUGUAGAGUACUUUUUUAUCCUUUGGCACUGUUCUCAGAGUUUUAUAUGCAGCAUAGA